GGAACAAAUCUGCCAGGCUGUGUGUGUUGUACAUUGAAAAAAUGCUGGAUGUCUUGGACUUGGAAUGCAAUGAGGAAGAUGAGCGCAGCUGCAAGGGAAUGACACCAGACCGCCAAUUAAACGCGGAACGGACUCUUUGAAUGGGGGAAAAACGGAACCAACAUCCGCCAGUGGACGAAAAAUCGUAGUUGAAGGAAAACGUCGUGAAGCGGUAUUUUCUAGUCGCAUCGAAUAAGUCCACACUGGCGGUACCAAACUGAGCAUUGGGAAUUUGGCCGAAAAACGCGAAUUCAUCGAGCUGAGUGUACUGACGGAGCGCAAACCGCUUCUGCCACCACCAUCGAACUCAUCCAUUUCGUCGGAUUCGAAACUAUCGUCCAGGUUUCGAUGUCAUGAGUCCGCAAACUGAAUGCGCACGAACGAACCAUUAUUUUAAAUAAAUAAUAAAAUUAUAUACCCGGCAAC